AGAGCUGUUGACAGGUUUGUUUUUGUCCCUCAACUUAUGGUCAACAGACACGUGCAGGAGCUGAUGUAAAACACUUUCCGAAAGUACAUGGCUUUAAUUUCUGCCAUACUAAUCAUUCACUUUCUUUUCUGACUUGCUAAUUAUAGAGAUUCCCACCCAGUAUAGCAUUUCACUGGGUGUGGUCACUUUUCCUCCCACCUAUAAUAUAAAGGUAGGAAGGACAAUUUAUGUUGUGUUUUUUGUCUCCUUGGGAUGCGUUGCACAGAUUUGAUAAUGUAUUACAGAUGCUGGUACUUAAUUAAAACGGCUUAAUUUUGUUGCAAACUUUAAUAAACUGUUUUGGUUGAAAUCCACAUUUCUUCAUAAGGGUUUUAAGUCUGUGUUCCUGUUUUAUAAGAAAUCAUUAAAUAAUUGAAGUCUUUAUAUUUAGUUUAUAUAGAUUGUAACUGAAUUCUGUUUUUAAGAGAGAGGAUAGCUGUUUGGGGGUCAUGCAGAUUUCUUUCUAGAUUUUUGAUCACUAUUUUAAAAAGCUGCUCUAACUUUGGCUUUUAUUUACCCAGGAAAUGAAAGUAUCUAGUAUCUUUUUUCCUCUUGAUCCCUUGUGGAGGUGAUAAGGCCCUACAUCAUCUGUUUGCUUAUAAUUUGGUUACAUAGAGUAAGUAGCUCUAUAAGUAAACUUGUAGGGGUUAGAAAUCACCCCCUUUUUUUCUAUUGCACACAAAGGUUUUUUUAAGUUCUGCUUAAGGUGAUUGUUAGGGAAUGUUUUUGUACAUUUAUUUUUAGAAGUUGGUAUACAAUCUUUAUUAAAUUCAAAUACAUUUAAGGAAUAAACCUAUUAAUACUACAUUGUGUGAGGAGCUAAACAAAAGAAGAAUUAUGCUCCUUCCCCUUUGGUCAUAACUGGGGCUUCUCCUGUGUGUUACUGCACUGUUGACAGGUAGGGUUCAAGUAGAAUCAGAAGCUGAAAUCUAAGUCUGAAAGUUCUCUUGAUUUGUUACGUGUCUUAAAAGCAAAAAGUUAUAAAUGUAACUAUCCCCCUGUGAAAUAAUUAUGAUAACUUUUGUCCUCAUACCUCAUAGGGCCUUGGCACUUGGAUAGUUAGAUGGGUAGGGGAUAAAGGAUAAUAAUAAUUGGAAAGUGAUUUGAAAAAUACUAAGCAGAAAUGUAUUUUCAAGUUAUAGUUGGCACUUCAAACAAGUCUUUGUGUUUAGGAGCUACUAUAUGAAUAAUGAGUUAUUGUUCUUUUUUCCAAGGGGUUUAACUUUGGGCAGUAGGACUUUUUGUAUGUGUGCGCAUACAGAUGUUCAUACGUAUAUACUUUUUAAUAUAUUUUAUUGAUUAUGCUGUUAUUGUUUUCCCAAUUUUUUUUCCUUUGCCCUUCUGUACCCCCCAUUCCCUUCAGCAGUCCCCCUCCUUAGUUCCCGUCAGUGGGUCAUGCAAAUAAGUUCUUUGGCUUCUCCAUUUCCUAUGCUGUUCUUAACAUCCCCUGUCUAUUCUGUACCUGCCAAUUCAUACAUCUUAAU